rnacentral:rRNA from 1 species
GACGAACGCUGGCGGCGUGCUUAAUACAUGCAAGUCAACUGAACUUUAGGUAGCAAUAUUUAAAGGGAGGUGGCGCACGGGUGAGUAACACGUAGGUAAUCUGCCUUCAGGACUGACAUAAUUCCGCGAAAGCGGGACUAAAAUCAGAUGAUGCAGCGGCUCGACAUCGAGACAGUUGUUAAACCUUCGGGGCCUGAAGAUGAGCCUGCGUCUGAUUAGGUAGUUGGCGGGGUAAAAGCCCACCAAGCCUGCGAUCAGUAGCUGGUCUGAGAGGAUGAUCAGCCACACUGGAACUGAGACGCGGUCCAGACUCCUACGGGAGGCAGCAGUAAGGAAUAUUGCUCAAUGGCCGAAAGGCUGAAGCAGCAACGCCGCGUGGAGGAUGAAAUACUUUAGUAUGUAAACUCCUGUAAGAGGGGAAAAAUAUACAGCUAUGCUGUGUUGAUUGUACCCUCAGAGUAAGCA